UACGUAGGCAGCAAGCGUUUGUUCGGAAUUACUGGGCGUAAAGAGUGUGUAGGCGGUGCUCUAAGUUUGGUGUGAAAUCUCCCGGCUUAACUGGGAGGGUGCGCCGAAAACUGGAAUGCUUGAACAUGGGGAGAGGAAAGCGGAAUUCCUGGUGUAGCGGUGAAAUGCGUAGAUAUCAGGAGGAACACCUGCGGUGUAGACGGCUUUCUGGACCAUUGUUGACGCUGAGACACGAAAGCGUGGGUAGCAAACAGG
rnacentral:rRNA from 1 species